UACGGAGGAUGCGAGCGUUAUCCGGAUUUAUUGGGUUUAAAGGGUGCGUAGGCGGACUGUCAAGUCAGCGGUAAAAUUGAGAGGCUCAACCUCUUCCCGCCGUUGAAACUGGUGGUCUUGAGUGGAUGAGAAGUACGCGGAAUGCGUGGUGCAGCGGUGAAAUGCAUAGAUAUCACGCAGAACUCCGAUUGCGAAGGCAGCGUACCGGCAUCCAACUGACGCUGAGGCACGAAAGCGUGGGGAUCAAACAGG
rnacentral:rRNA from 1 species